rnacentral:rRNA from 1 species
GAUGAACGCUAGCGGCAGGCUUAACACAUGCCAGUCGAGGGGUAUUUAUCUUCGGAUAGAGAGACCGGCGCACGGGUGCGUAACGCGUAUGCAAUCUACCUUUUACAGAGGGAUAGCCCAGAGAAAUUUGGAUUAAUACCUCAUAGUAUAUAGACUCGGCAUCGAGAUUAUAUUAAAGUCACAACGGUAAAAGAUGAGCAUGCGUCCCAUUAGCUAGUUGGUAAGGUAACGGCUUACCAAGGCUACGAUGGGUAGGGGUCCUGAGAGGGAGAUCCCCCACACUGGUACUGAGACACGGACCAGACUCCUACGGGAGGCAGCAGUGAGGAAUAUUGGACAAUGGGCGCAAGCCUGAUCCAGCCAUGCCGCGUGCAGGAGGACGGUCCUAUGGAUUGUAAACUGCUUUUAUACGAGAAGAAACACUGCUACGUGUAGCAGCUUGACGGUAUCGUAAGAAUAAGGAUCGGCUAACUCCGUG